rnacentral:rRNA from 1 species
CCUACGGGAUGCAGCAGUGGGGAAUAUUGCACAAUGGGGGAAACCCUGAUGCAGCGACGCCGCGUGAGUGAAGAAGUAAUUCGUUAUGUAAAGCUCUAUCAGCAGGGAAGAAAAUGACGGUACCUGAGUAAGAAGCCCCGGCUAACAACGUGCCAGCAGCCGCGGUAAUACGUAGGGGGCAAGCGUUAUCCGGAUUUACUGGGUGGAAAGGGAGCGUAGACGGCAGUGCAAGUCUGGAGUGAAAGGCGGGGGCUCAACCCCCGGACUGCUCUGGAAACUGUACGGCUGGAGUGCAGGAGAGGUAAGUGGAAUUCCUAGGGUAGCGGUGAAAUGCGUAGAUAUUAGGAGGAACACCAGUGGCGAAGGCGGCUUACUGGACUGUAACUGACGUUGAGGCUCGAAAGCGUGGGGAGCAAACAGGAUUAGAUACCCCAGUAGUC